rnacentral:rRNA from 1 species
AGUGAACGCUGGCGGUAGGCCUAACACAUGCAAGUCGAACGGCAGCACAGUAAGAGCUUGCUCUUACGGGUGGCGAGUGGCGGACGGGUGAGGAAUACAUCGGAAUCUACUUUUUCGUGGGGGAUAACGUAGGGAAACUUACGCUAAUACCGCAUACGACCUACGGUUGAAAGCAGGGGAUCUUCGGACCUUGCGCGAUUGAAUGAGCCGAUGUCGGAUUAGCUAGUUGGCGGGGUAAAGGCCCACCAAGGCGACGAUCCGUAGCUGGUCUGAGAGGAUGAUCAGCCACACUGGAACUGAGACACGGUCCAGACUCCUACGGGAGGCAGCAGUGGGGAAUAUUGGCCAAUGGGCGCAAGCCUGAUCCAGCCAUACCGCGUGGGUGAAGAAGGCCUUCGGGUUGUAAAGCCCUUUUGUUGGGAAAGAAAAGCAGCAGGUUAAUACCCCGCUGUUCUGACGGUACCCAAAGAAUAAGCACCGGCUAACUUCGUG